CCAGAGCAAAAUCUGGAGCAAACCACCUGCUUCCAUGAGUGGUGGGGAGGUGAUAGAGAAGAUCAACUUUCUACUCAUCCCUAAUGAAUCUGCCAGGACUGAAGAUUAUGGUUUUCCCUUGGUGUUUGAAGUAAACAGAUUGUGACCACCUUGAUGAAUAGAAUAUAACAGAAGUGACACCACAUGACUUUCAAGCCUAAGUCAUAAAAGUUGAUAUGGCUUACCCUUGGCCCUCCCAGGAUGCCUGCUUUGUGAACUCAGUCUCCAUGGAGUGGGAAGACACAGAUUAUAUGGAAAGACAACAACAUCCUCUUCCUUGGGAUUUGUCCCUACACUUUGAUCUCAAGUGGGAGCUGUAGAGAGGAAGGUGAAGCAGGAAGAGACUUAGAGGAACAAUGAAAGAACAUAUUUUCAUGAGGUGACAUGGUUGUCAAAUUUCAC